CUCAUUGAAUUAUGAGCGAAUGAGUGAGUGAGUGAACGAACGAAUGUGAAUAGGUGAGCGCAACGCGCCGAGGUGGUGGAUGGCAAGAAAAGCAGACGAUAACAACGUCAGUAAUAAUGACAACAGCAUUUUGCUAUAUUGGGGAACGGGAGCGGAAUCGGAUGGCUAAUGGGACGGUACUGUGGAGCAUCGCGUUGAGUCGAGUGCAGAACGAUGGUAAUAACAUAGCGUUAACGACACAAUGACGGCGAAGAUAACAACAACAACAAAGGCGCAAGCAAUAACACAGCAGCACACACACACACCGACUUUGACUGAAACAGUGGCAAUGGCAACGGCAACGGCAACUACUGAGACUGAGGCAAUUGGCAUGGCGUCGGCAGCGCCGAUUGUGACGACGACGACCAUAACAGUUUGGGUAAAAUGUAUCUAGAUACUUAAUUGCCACAUUCAGUCGUUGUUAAAUAGUUGCACGGCGCAGUACGAUUGCGAUUCUAUGCCAAUGCUGACGACGUUCGUCAUUUGUUCAUUCGCUCGCUUACUCGUUUGCUCAUUAUCAUCGUCGUUGUUGUCGCUUCUUCUUCUAGUCUGUUUUUUGUCGUUGGUGUUAUUGAUAAUUGCCGCGUGCGCGUAAGUGGCAAUAAGCACAACAAGAAGAACAAAUACAAAAUAGUAAUAACAAUUACAGCCUGUUGUAUAAGCCAAUUGGCAGCUAAACUUGCAGUUGCCGGUUGUUGCAGUGAAGCGCAGUCAGUGGUGCUGAAUGCGGAUAUGCCGAUGCACACCGACAUUGGCAGUUCUGCAUCGGACAAUAUGUGCAAUAAAAAUGAAAGAAUGACAAAAAUAAAUUAUGAAUAAUGAAUUGCAGAAGGUAAAACUUCGGGAACCGAAAGAUUAAAUUAAAAAUAAAUUAAAAGAGAAAGCAACACCCAAAUGUAAUAACAAAACAACAGUGAAAGUGAGUGUAAAGGAAAUCAUCGGAAAGGCGAGAAAUAAAUGUACAAAAAAUACUUAACAAAUAGAUAUAUAUUGUCAAAUGUAUAAAAACUAAAGGCGUUAACAGAGUAAAAAUAUAUAUUUAUGUGUAAAAACAUAAAACAGUGACAAUGGCAGUGUUAAAGUUCACGUUGUGCGCCUGGGCGUAUGAGUGACGUUAGUGUGAAUUUGAUUGCGAAAUAAGAGCAAAUGGAAAAAAUACAAUAAAAUAGAAGCAACGGUUAAGAAAAGAAGAGAGAAGAGUGCAUAGAAGUAAGACGUUAAUUGCAAAAAAAUUGAAAAAAAAUUAAAACGGCAGUGAGUGCGCGCAGAAGCAACAUAGUAGCAAACAACAAACGUCAAUUUAACCCACUUUGUUAUUCAUAAUGAAAAUGAAAUGAGAAUUAUCCUUUAAGUGCAGUGGCAAAUGCGUGUGAAUAAAAUUUCAAAAAAAAGCACUAAGCAUACGUAUUUUCAGGCAUACACACAUACAUAUUAUACAUAAAAGAAAGCGAAAAAUGCCACAGGCAUCCAAGCGCUUGGAAAGUGCAAAUUUGUGUGGUUGCGCGCAUUAAUAUAAAAAUAAACACUUGCAUAUUAAUUACAUUCGAUUAUAAUUAGUGAGUAAAUGUAAAACAGUUGUUAAAAAGCGCAAUAAAUGCUCCAGCAAUAACAGCUUGUGACGCAUCAAACAAAAAAAGAACAAAAACAAAAAAAAUACAAAAACAAAAACAACAAGGAACAACAGAAAUAAAACGAAAAAUGCACAAAUAAAUUCAAACAAAUAUUAAUGAAAUUGAAAUUUAUUUAUAUGAAAGUAAAGCAGUAGUGUAAACAUCCGACCACCCUCAAUAAAAUGGUUUAAUUGGCAGAGAAAAAGCGCAAGCGAAAAAAAUCAUUUAUAUAAAUAAUAAUUUAAUUCCCUCUUACCCUAAUGCUGCGCGGCGUCAUUGUCAAUUUUAAUUAAGUAAAGUGUAUUAAUUUGCAGCUCGUUACACUAAUUAAGGAUAAUAAGCGACAACAAUAACUACAACAACAGCAAUAUACUAUCUAAUAGAAUCAGCUACGCAACGCUGGAGGCGCCUGUCGUGUAACAAAAAUAAAUUAACAGCAGCAAGACAAGCCGAGCAAGAGACACACACACACACAAUAGAAAAGUUCGAAAAGCAAACAAACAAAAAAAAACACACAACAAAAAAUAUAUAAGCCUCAGAAAGCACACAGCUAAGUCCAUGCGACUACUUGGCGUGUGACAGCAGUGAAAUAAAAGCGCUUACACACCAACAAACCCAAACUGGAACACAAACACAAACAAAGGAUACUGCAUAUGUGUCUACAUGCGCGGCGUGCAAAGCGAAGCAAAGUAAGUGGCACUAAAAGCGCGCAAAGAACGCUUUUGCAAAGCUUAGAGAGUGUAACAGGAUACUCGAAAUUUAUGUCAACUUAGCGUUGAAUAACCGCGUUUGUGUGUGUGUGUGUAAUAGUUGCGUAACAAUUUUGUGACCUUUAGCAGACACACAUCCACAUAAGGCAUGUUAGAGGUUGUAGCUGCAAAAAAAUACUAAUAAAAUACAAAUCAAAAAACGCCAAAACACAAAAAAUUUCAACUAAAGUGACACAGUUAAAAUAAAAGCAAAAUAAAACAAAAAAUAAAUAAAAACAGAAAAAACCGCAUCAGGAUAAAAUCAACAUCAACAAAAAUGUGCUGCAUCUGGUCUCAAAAGAGCGGCUUAUGAGCAACAGCAAAAACGCAAUAAAAACAACCAACGCAUUUAAUUGGAUUGUAAGCCGUACAUUAAAAAUUUUAAUUCAGGUAAGCAACUAUCUAUGUUGUCAAAUUUCCAUGUGAGCACAAGUACAUACAUAUUUACAUUUACAUACAUAUCCGUUUACGAAAUAACACCUCUUAUUGGAAAACCCUUUAUAUAUUCUAUUUUUAUAGUAAAAACUCUAGAAAUAAACUAUCAAUUUUCUAGACAGAACCAAGAAGUUUCAUAUUUUUCUUUGUCAUUGAAGUUAAUUUAGACUCGUUUGUACUUUAAAUUAAUAACCAUUAUAAUACAAAAACAUAUAUAUAUUUAAUUAGCAGAAGGGAAAUUAUGAAAAAUUUACUAAGACGUUUGAAACGUUAUCACAUUUAAAACAUGCAUAUCAUAUGUUAAAGGUUAAGAUUAUAAUUAAAGUUUUUUAAUUUUGCGGCCAGAUGCCGUACGCUAACUGUGACCAUUUGUUGAAGAAUUUGAAGGUAAAAGAUAAAAAGAUAAGAGUUUAUUAAGUGGAAAACCCAUGAAUAUUUGUGCUAUCGAAAAAUUUGCAGAAUAUGGUGUAAGCCCUAAUUCUACAUCAUUAUGUUUAGAUAUUUAUCACAUUUUAGAUAUUUAUCGCAGGUUUCGGGUUUUUUAAGAUUUUUUCGCAGAUUACUAGGAAAAACCUUUGCUUUGCAUCCUACAGGCUAGCGUUAAUCUGUACGCCUUUAAGUACCACGACUCAGUUAAACGCUAUAAAAUUUCAGAUACUAACAGACUCUCCGAAAAACUGCAAUGACAUCUAAGUUUUGACUCGUCAUGAAGCUUUCUGGUGGAGAAAUCUGUCAGGAGUCGUAGAAUUAUUUUGACCACAUUAUUUUGGCAGAUCUGCAGUUUUCCAACGUGCGACUUUGCGAUAUUACUCCAGGCUGGAAAGACAGGCAUAUAAUACUCGUAUACUGAAUACUGAAAUAUAGAGUUGUAAAUUAGUAGUCUAAGUAUAUUUAUCGCUUGAGCCUAAAGGAUAUAACGUUUUAAUCAAAGGUACCUUUUUUGAUCGAUCAAUCAUCCAAUUCUCAUUUGAACUAUUUAAGCAACUCUCUAUCUAUAUCUGUUUGACUCAUUGUUUACCACGGUUACAGGGAUAUGUCAUGUCCGAAAAAUAAAAUUAAACCUUCCGACAGCAGAUUGCUGAAAUUCCAUUUAGUUUCAAAAAUAGUUUUUCACUGCUUAAACCUUUUUGAUGUUCUUGUAAAAGACGCCUGAGUGAAACAAAGAGCGAUCGCGAAAAUUGCGAUACCUUUGAUUUAAACGAUCCUACUGAUCCCACUUGGAUCCAACCAGAGGCUGACUUCCGCAAAACAAAAACUAACUGGAAUAAGUAUAUGUAUUUAUAUAUAAAAUGGCGCAAAAUUAAUCACCCCUUCGGAAGCUUUAUUAUUUUUGCAAAUGAAGUGAUUUGACACUUGUGAAGUAGACAACUACAGUAUACAAACAGACAAGCAGUGGAAAGAUUUCCAUGAAAGAUUCAAAGGUUAAAAAUAAGGUAAAAAACAAAAAUUCCAUCACUCAAAAUAGUUUUAUUUUAUUUCGUAAAAAGUUAUUCAAAACAAAAUCGCGUGAUUAAUUUACAUUUAUAUACACAUAUAAUCGGUGCUUACAGCCUUGUUGAGUACUUGACCCAGGAGGUCGUCAAAGUGCGACUUUUUUUCACAAAUUAAAGGACCUAAAGAUUUAUGUCGCCUCCGAAAGGCAGAUAGUUUUUUAUGGACAACUUUUUCAUGAAAGAAAUAAGCUCGUAGGUUUGAUAUUACCUGGCGAGUGGGGGCCUUUCUUAAAAAAAUUAUAUUUUUUCUAUGAUUUUGGCGUUUAACUGGGUAAUACUCGCAAAACUAAGUAGGCUGUCCUUACCCCUGAAAUGGUUGAAGUGUCAGUCUGGCAAUCCUCAAGUAGCACUAAAGCGCCGUCUUGAUAGUUCUUACCCCUGUUAAGCAAAGAAGAAAAAUUCAAAUUUUGUUUAUUCUUAUUUUAUUUUCACACAACGAUGUACUAUAUAAGUCGUAAUUCCGGGCAAACUAUCCUGUUCCAAUCAGACGUUGAUGAAACCUCAAACCUUUGAGACAGAAAACCUCAAAGGCAAAAAAUGUAUAACAAAUCAGCGCUAUUUUGUAGCCACUCACUCU